CAGCAGCCGCGGUAAUACGGAGGGUGCGAGCGUUAAUCGGAAUUACUGGGCGUAAAGCGCGCGUAGGCGGUUUGUUAAGUCAGCUGUGAAAGCCCCGGGCUCAACCUGGGAACUGCAGUUGAUACUGGCCGACUAGAGUACGAGAGAGGGAGGUAGAAUUCCAUGUGUAGCGGUGAAAUGCGUAGAUAUAUGGAGGAAUACCAGUGGCGAAGGCGGCCUCCUGGCUCGAUACUGACGCUGAGGUGCGAAAGCGUGGGUAGCAAACAGGAUUAGAUACCCUGGUAGUCCACGCCGUAAACGAUGUCUACUAGCCGUUGGGAGACUUGAUUUCUUAGUGGCGCAGCUAACGCACUAAGUAGACCGCCUGGGGAGUACGGCCGCAAGGUUAAAACUCAAAUGAAUUGACGGGAGCCCGCACAAGCGGUGGAGCAUGUGGUUUAAUUCGAUGCAACGCGCAGGACCUUACCUGGUCUCGACAUCCUGAAAACUUUCUAGAGAUAGAUUGGUGCCUUCGGGAAUUCAGUGACAGGUGCUGCAUGGCUGUCGUCAGCUCGUGUCGUGAGAUGUUGGGUUAAGUCCCGUAACGAGCGCAACCCUUGUCCUUAGUUGCCAGCACAUAAUGGUGGGAACUCUAAGGAGACUGCCGGUGACGAACCGUAGGAAGGUGGGGACGACGUCAAGUCAUCAUGGCCCUUACGACCUGGGCUACACACGUGGUACAAUGGCAAGUACAGAGGGCUGCAAAGGCGCGAGCUGGAGCCAAUCCCACAAAACUUGUCGUAGUCCGGAUUGGAGUCUGCAACUCGACUCCAUGAAGUCGGAAUCGCUAGUAAUCGUGGAUCAGAAUGCCACGGUGAAUACGUUCCCGGGCCUUGUACACACCGCCCGUCACACCAUGGGAGUGGGUUGCAAAAGAAGUGGGUAGACUAACCUUCGGGAGGUCGCUCACCACUUUGUGAUUCAUGACUGGGGUGAAGUCGUAACAAGGUAACCGUA
rnacentral:rRNA from 1 species